AGUUGGAGAGGUAACGGCUCACCAAGGCUACGAUGUCUAGGGGUUUUGAGAGGAAGAUCCCCCACACUGGUACUGAGACACGGCCCAGACUCCUACGGGAGGCAGCAGUGAGGAAUAUUGGUCAAUGGACGGAAGUCUGAACCAGCCAUGCCGCGUGAGGGAAGACUGCCCUAUGGGUUGUAAACUUCUUUUAUACGGGGAUAAACCUAUCUUUGCGAAGAUAGCUGAAGGUACCGUAUGAAUAAGCAUCGGCUAACCCCGUGCCAGCAGCCGCGGUAAUACGGAGGGUGCAAGCGUUAAUCGGAAUUACUGGGCGUAAAGCGUGCGCAGGCGGUUCGGAAAGAAGGAUGUGAAAUCCCAGGGCUCAACCUUGGAACUGCAUUCUUAACUACCGGACUAGAGUAUGUCAGAGGGGGGUAGAAUUCCGCGUGUAGCAGUGAAAUGCGUAGAUAUGCGGAGGAAUACCGAUGGCGAAGGCAGCCCCCUGGGAUAAUACUGACGCUCAUGCACGAAAGCGUGGGUAGCAAACAGGAUUAGAUACCCUGGUAGUCCACGCCCUAAACGAUGUCAACUAGCUGUUGGGCCCUUCGGGGCUUAGUAGCGUAGCUAACGCGUGAAGUUGACCGCCUGGGGAGUACGGUCGCAAGAUUAAAACUCAAAGGAAUUGACGGGGACCCGCACAAGCGGUGGAUGAUGUGGAUUAAUUCGAUGCAACGCGAAAAACCUUACCUACCCUUUGACAUGUCUGGAAUCCUUUAGAGAUAGAGGAGUGCUCGCAAGAGAACCGGACACAGUGCUGCAUGCUGUCG
rnacentral:rRNA from 1 species